rnacentral:rRNA from 1 species
UACGUAGGGGGCAAGCGUUGUCCGGAUUUAUUGGGCGUAAAGAGCGUGUAGGCGGUCAGGUAGGUCCGUUGUGAAAACUCGAGGCUCAACCUCGAGACGCCGAUGGAAACCAUCUGACUAGAGUUCGGAAGAGGAGAGUGGAAUUCCUGGUGUAGCGGUGAAAUGCGCAGAUAUCAGGAAGAACACCCGUGGCUAAGGCGGCUCUCUAGUACGGUACUGACGCUGAGACGCGAAAGCGUGGGGAGCGAACAGG